rnacentral:lncRNA from 1 species
GGCUCUGCUGCCAGGAUACCCCCACCCACCCAGUACAUUCGGACAAGGACUUUGUUGCAGGGCCUGGGACAGCCCCAGGCGAGCUGAGAAGGAUCCGACCUGGGGUUGAGUGGCCUGCCCAGCUGCUGCCACACUCGAGGUCUGUGGGUUAUUCUAGGUCCCACAGGGCAUGAAAUCACAGAGCAGAAGUUCUUCCUAUCUGUGGCCAGGCUGGAGUGCAAUGGUGCCAUCUCAGCUCACUGUAACCUCUGACUCCCUGGUUCAAGCGAUUCUCCUGCCUCAGCCUCCUGAGUAUCUUAAACCGCUAUGCUGCUAUUGGCAGAUCCAUCCAUCCACCCAUCCAUCCACCUACCCAUCCAUCUAUCCAACCAUCCAUCCAUCUAUCCAUCCAUCCCCAUCCGUCCAUCCACCCACCCAUCCAUUCAUUCAACAAAUAUUCGUUGAGCACCUACUGAGUGCCAGACACAGUGCUGAGUGCUGGAGAGAUGCCAGUGACCAGAAAGACACAGCCCAUCCCUGCCCCCAGCAGCUGUUCACAAAGAGAGGAUGGGCAAUAAGCAAGACAAAUAAGUA